rnacentral:lncRNA from 1 species
UUUUGUUCUUGUCUUCGCUUUGAACCUAGUCCUGCAUACUUAAAGUGAUCAUGCUGUUUACUAGUGUCACUCUAUGAUGCACGGAACUCCACCCAAUCAUAGUUUCCCCAGUGUUUUGGAAACGUUUUAAAAAUGGAAACUUCCGGAAAUGUCUCCAAAACAUUCUGGGGCCUCUUCUGUAGUUUAACCAAGUUAGGAACCUGUUUCUGAAUCAGAAAUGUCUGUCCUCGAGUAAAAAUAAAAAUCGAAGAUAAAGUAAGAAGAGAAAGUAGUACUGAAAGACUUGACUUUUAGUAUUAAUUAUUACUUUGGAAUUUUGUAGAUGCUUUUUUUUUUUCUUUUUUUUUUUUUGAAGACUUGAUUUAUUAUUUUUCUUAAAUUGUUCUUAAUAUCUAUCGAUUAUCGAUGGUAAUUAUAUACGAAUAAAUUAAUAAAUUUAUAUUUUAUAUAUAAUUUAUUAUAAAACUAACAUUGAUACAUUGAUAUAUUUAUGUUUCACACACAUACACACACAUAUAUGUUCCCUGCAGUUUUUUUUCUUACAUUUUUGAAAAAUAAAGUUUCAACAUUUCCACGUUUUGCUGUUUCCAUUUCUGUUCCUUUUCCGUUUACAUAGGUGUCAGUUAACCUAGGGGUGUCUUGCUCCUUGAAGAAGCAUGUUAGCGCUUUAAGUGGAGGUGUGGCACCAAAUUGUGGAUUCUGGAUCAAUGGAUUAGUGUUUUUUAUACAUAAAAUUGCAAAACUAUAUACAUGUGCAUUCAAUGUUAUCAUCUCUGGUGAUGGUAGAGGUGAUGAUAUACUUUUGUUUGUUUACAUGAUUGGACAAGAAUUACUAGAUGGUAAAAGCACCUCAGUAUAACAAGUCUAUCUGAUGAACUUUGGUUUGGAUAAUCAAUACCAUUGUGAUUAUGCAACCAGCUUUUGAAAAAAGGCCCCUCUUUAAACAAAAUCCGGUUUUUCACAUACACUAACCAAUAUUUUUAGAAGUCCAAAUACUUGUCAUGGCUUCUAAAGUUGCUAUUCAUGUGUGCUUUUCAAAGUAUGUUCACUACCUUUUGGGUCCUUCUAUAGUUCUCAGUGUGCUCCAAAUUAUUUGAAAUUGAAACAGGAGCUAUAACCUGCUUAUUUUGAUUGUAAAAUGGCCCCUGAAGUUUGAAAUUUUGGCUGUCAUGUGGCCUAGUUAUGCCAGUAAAUAUAGUUAUGCUUUUUCCUUUUUGAAAUUGUUGCUACUAAUUUGUGUAUAGUUACUGUGUUAUAGUUCCUCCUCCAUGGUAGUUGGGUUUCUUUAUUUGAUGAUAUAAUCUCCAACUCUGUGAAUUUAAAAAUCUGUGUGGUGUAUGAAUUAUCAAGCAGUGUACUUGUAAGGUUCCCUGACUUUUGUAAUUUUCUGGUAUGUCGAAGCAGUGAUUUGUGUCAAUUUUUUAAAUUAUGAAUGAGUUCUUUUUCUCUUUGAUUAAGCUAUAUAAUUAUGUCGCCCACAUGUUUAGUAAAAUAUUUUUCUAGCUUGACUGGAGUCCUGGUUGACCAUGCUACAUGUGAUUUAUAAAUCAAUAGUUGCUAUUUAAAUUGGUGAUGUCAUAAGUCAUGCAUUUAUGGGCUCUCUCUGCUGUCUGUUUUGUGCAGUAUGAUGUGCGAUGUCCUAUCUAGUAUGAUGCAAAUAUUGAUAAAAUUAACAUUUUUCAUUUAAUUUGGUUUUGUCGAGAAACAUUUUUAUAAUGUUUUCUUAUUUCAAUACAAAAUUCGGCAUUCACAGGCUGUGUUGUCUGUUAUAUGCAGUGUGAUGUGCAUCCUUCGAUGGGCCACAUACAGUCAGAAACCAACCUGCCCUCAGUGCAAACAUCCAUUUGAGUUCCUUAAUGUUCAUCGUUCACUUGAUGGCAGGUAGCACUCGGAUCUUCAUUCUAACAAAGCAAUUUGUUAUGAUAUUUCAUGUGGGAACAAUUAGUUAUAAAUUGGAUUAAUAAUUAACUUCGUGAUCCACAAAACCCCACAAAGUGUGACCUGAAUUCAGAUUGUAUUAUUAUUAUCUACACUCAGUUUCCUUGCCUUUUAGGUUAUUUCUUUUUCGUAUUUUAUUUUAAUAAGUUGUUGAUUUGUAACAACAGCAUCCAGGAUUACAUGUUUGAGGAGAGUGUGUGUCUUCUUCUUAGAGCUGCGUGGUUUAAUCCUUUGAUUGUGGAGAGUCAUGAAGAUGCAUAUGAUGACUUGGACGAUUAUUAUGUGUAUGAAUAUGGGGAUGAUGACGAUGACGAUGAGGAUGAUCUAGCGGAUGUCUACUUAAGCAGUUCGUCAAACCUUCGUAUCGGUAAUCGGAAGUGGGGAGACAAUGGUUAUGUCAGGUCAGGGCGUCAAGAAGCAAGGCCAGCUUAUCGACCAAACGUCCAGGAUUCUGGUGCUGGUUCAUCAUCAUCCGAACCUAAAAAGAAAGAAACUGCAAGGGAUAGGACGGGUCGACGCGCAAAGAGGACACUUAAGCGGGAAGCUGCUGACAAGGCAGCCGCAGCAAAACACCAACAGCAUUUGGCAAGGUUUGGGCGAAAGUGAGUCUCUCUCGGUGCCUCUGUAUGUAAUUCAUAAUCCAGAAACCAUAAUCUGGUCUUUGUACAGUAUUUCCUCAACUUUGUGAAAAUAAUGACAUGGUAGUUUGGUUAGGAUGGUGGAAUUUACAGGGUCGCUGUCUGUAUCAUUCAAAAUUUGAUUCACAUCUUUAAUUGCAGAAUCUGGUUCCGAUCUUAUCAUGGCUGCUUUCAGCCUGAUUUAACUGUACAUUAUAAACGUUUUAUGUUCACAGGCCAUUGUCAGGCAAUUGAUGCUUAGCUGUAGACUUGGUUUCUUUUGUUGGCUUGGCUUUGCAUUAUUCUGGAAGAAAGAUUUUUUAAUUCCGAAUCGCUUAUUCAAGAACACUUGCUAAAUGAGUUAGAAAGCUGAUCUAGGAAAGUGUUUUGUAUGUUUUUAUUAAUCUUGAUUCAGCAAACCUCUCGUCAGUUUUUAGGAUUUUUAGUUUUUCUCAGCAUUCAUUUGAUUUAAAUAUCGAAGAAUUUUAGUAAUUAAUUUAUAUAGUUUUAAUUAUACAAGAUUAAGAUAGUUUUAAAUAAUUUUUUUUUCAUAGUAAAAUUAAAUUGUAAUAUAGGAUUUUUACACAUAAAUAAAGAGGAGUACUAAGGGCAAAGGCUGAUGCUAGAACGAAGUGAGUUAAAAGUAAAAAGUUAAAAGUAAAAAGUGAAAGAAAAAGGUAAAAAGUGAAAUAGGAAGGCAAGAGGGGAAGAGAAUCAUCGCCUCCGAAUGAUGGAAAGUGCUAAAACUCUUUCUUUAUUCUUUUUGUUAUACGUUUUGUUGUGUUUACUUUUUUUUUUUUAUAUAUAUAUAUAUUUUUUUUUGUGAUUGUAUUUUCUGCUCCACAUUGAAGAUAAUAUGUGUGCUUUUCGGUGUGUAAUAGCAUUGAGUCUUAUAAGUUUUUGUGUUUAAGCUAUUCUUUUUUAUUAAGUUAGUAUAUUUAGAUUUUAGACACAACUCAACACAGCGUUUAAUGACUUUUAUAGAGUUUAUAAUUAAUGGAUGACUUUCACAAACUUUACUUAAAAAUACUUUUAUAGAUAUUGAUAGACUUUUAUUGAUUUUCAUAUGCUAUUAUUUAUUUAUUAUUUUAUUUAAUCAUUUCACUUUUUUCUUUUCAUUUUUUCUGUUUAUUUUAGACAUUAUAUCACAAUAAUAUUAUAUACAAAAUAACAGAGAAUACUUUUUUAAAAAUAAAAUUAUCAUAUUACAAUUUGUCUCCAAUUAAACCACCAAAUUUAUGUCCCACUCGUUAUAUUUUAUUUAUUAUUUAUUUGAUAAAUACUUAAACUAAUAAUGAUCACGCUUACUAAAUUAUUUAAUAAAUACUUAAACUGAUAAUUAUGCUUACCAACAUAAGUGUAAUAUCCAGAAUCUUCCUUUAAUAAUAAUAAUAAUAAUAAUAAUAAUAAUAAUAAUAAUAAUAAUAAUAAUAAUAAUUAAUAAAUGAGUUUUUAAUUAAAUUAAUUUUAACUUUAUUUUUAUUUGGUUUAAUUAGAAUGAUUUAAAUGCAAUUUUGAAUUUUAAUGCUAAACAAAUAAAGGAGCUAUUUUCUAUAUCCUAUUAGUUUGAAUUUUUAAGAGAUUAAUUAAGUAAAUUCUUUGAGAAAUAAAUUAUAUUUUUGGUUAUUCAAAAUUUUCUCUCAAAUGAAUAUAUUUAAUUAAAUUCUAUAUUUAAGAGUUAUGAAAGAAAUUAUAAAGGAUAUUUUAUAAAAGAAUUGUUGGGGAAAAGGGUAUCUUAGCAAAUUGAUUAAUUAAAUUAAUUGUGUGCUAGGAUUAAAUUGGAAAUUUAUUUUAGAAUAAGGAUUAAAAGUAUAAUUUUAUUAAUAUGGGGUUUUAAUGAAAAUUUGUAUGUUUGGUAUUUUGUAAAUAAAUAUGUCGGUAAGGGCUUUUUGAUAAUUUUACAUUUAAAAGCAAGGGUGUAUAUAUAAUUAUAUAUUUUCAAUAAUUCUAAUUUUGCCCAAAUUAAUUAGUUAGGGGCUUAAUUGAAAGGCUAAAAAAAAGUUUAAGGGUUAAUUGGAAAUUUUGUUGGACGAAAUUGUUGUAAUUAAAAAAGUUGAGGGACCAAAAGGUAAGAAAGAAAAUUUCAGGGACCAAAAGUCGAUAUGGAGAUGAAGAAAAGAAGAAAAGAAUCGGGGAGAGAGAAAGGAAGGUAGGAAGAAGAAGAAGGAAGCGGGCUGCGUCGUCAGUGGCCGACGAAGCGGCUGGCGUCGGCGAGUGCAGCGGCACCAGCACGCGCGUGGAGGAAGGCAACUGAAACUUCCUUACCGCCGUGCGUGCGUUUCCUACGAUGGUAGCCGCUGAUUCUGGUGGCGAUCGACUUCCUUCGGCGAGAGCUUCUUUUUGGCCGUGGCGGCGUCGACUUUGGUGGCCGGAGGAGGGAGUUCCGGCGAGGUGUUGGCAGCGGUGUUUUCUGGCGAGCUCUAGCGAGGGAUGGAUGAUCGGAGGACAUAUUUGGACUCCCCUCAGCUCAAACUUCGCAAUGACACCGGUUUCGUGGCGAUCAGACUCCGUUUAUAAAUCGGCGGCCUAGAUUGUCCGUAAAUCUCUCCGGAUGAUCGAGGGUCGGAUCGGAAAAUCAAAAGCGAGAAUCGUCAUCAGCGCGUUGUUUCGAGUCCAUUGGUGUGUUCAGAUCGUCGAUUGGACUCCGGCGGCUGGAGGCGAGUCGACCGAGCGAUCAAGCGUCUAGGUAAUUUCUCUGGCCCGUUGAUUUUAGAAUUCUUUGAUAAAUUUAUGUAUUUGUUGAAUUGUGUUGAGCUUUUGAAAAUAUAUUGUUAAUUAAAAUAAUUAGUUUGUCAAACUGUUUGCCAUUAGUUAUGAUUUGUGAUGUGUGGCGGAGUCGAAAUCUUGGGGACUCGACUCCUGUUAUAUUGACUUGUAGAAUAUUUGAAGUAUUUUCUGGCAGGUCCUGGACCAGUUUUCUGGAGGGUAAAUGUCCAUAUUUUAGGGGAGAUUCUGCCGGAUUUUUGGUAGAAUUCUUCUGAGUCGAGAUUUUAGACAGUCAGUCCUAGGAAUCUAGAUCUAGGGUUAAUUGUCAAUUGUUUCAGUGUUAUUGAUAAAUUAUUUUUUAUGAUUAAAUAAUCCGUCUGUUCGGCUCGCUCCACCCGAGGCAUCAAAACAAAGCUAGGCGGUCGUCAAAGCUGUGAGUUAAAGUCAUAUAUAUGCUAUGCACGUGUAAUUUUAAAUAGCUAUUGCGAUUAAAUGAUUGUAAGUUUAAAUUAUUCAUUUAAUUAUUAUUCAUAUAUAUCAUACUCUUUGAUUACUAUUUAUAUAUAUAUAUAUAUAUAUCAUGUUCUUUAUCACUGAAUUUAUUAUUGUCUGAUGACACAGGAUGGGACGGCAGUAAAACAUAUUAGUUUGAUGAGUGUAUCAGUAUGGAUCCGAGAGUGACGAAAGAAAGGGUAAAUUGGUAAGUUUAAAAAGAAAAGUUUAGGACUUGCCUUGGUCGAGCAUCUCUCUCUGGGCUUGGUAGAGUGUGUCUGCCGGAGUAAAGGUCCCUGGUCGAGCAUUGCUCUCUAGGCGCAGGCUUAUUUGGAACCUAAGUGACCAGACUGGAGUUAAGAAUCCUAGUCGAGCUUCGCUCUCUGGGCGCCAAUCUUAUUGGAGUAAGAGAGCCGAAAGGCUAAGAGUGUUAAUGAUAAUUAAGUGGCUGAACUGGAUUUAAGGACCUUGAUCGAGCUUCGCUCUUUGGGCGCCAGUUCUGUUAGAAUGAGAAAGUCGAGAUGUUAGUGUUGAGAGUAGAGUUCUGCUGUGGUACCCCGUCCUGUUGUAUGUGAAGUUAUAUUUUUUUAAUUUUAUUUUAUUUUAUUUAAGCAUGGCAUGACAUGAAUAUUGUUGUAUGACAUAAUGUUUAUUUCCAAAUCAAUAAAUGUGUUAUUGAAGUGUUUGAAAUUAUUUUUGGGAUAUAUGAUUUUAACUCACUUUUGAGAUUGACAGUUUCAAUUUUACUGUUUUUUAGAUAUGUGUUUGUUAGUCUUCCCACGGCUUUUAUCAAGCAACUCGACUCCUUCAUCAUCGGGUGACGUGUUUGAUUCAGUAUACUGACUUGUAAAAAUUUAGAUUCUCCGUAGUAGAAAUAGUAGACUUAUCAGUUGUAAUUUUUUGUAGUUUCGGGUCUCGCCUAAUUCUUCUGGCAGACUGAAUUAAAUAUGUAGAAUUGAAUAGUUAAGUUAGAUUGUGAAUCAGUACCGUGGAUUGUACCAUCAGUAGCAUCAUAUGAGAUUUGAUUAAGUAAGAGCGUGUCAGGCUUACUAAGGGAUUCGAUAGCCUUACACCUAACCAUUCCCUAAUGCUGGUCACGAGCCUACAGAUCGGAUCGUGACAAUAAGAAAUUAUCCAAAUAAUCUUCUUAAUAAAAUCUAAAAAUCUAUAUAUGGUGGGAUGUUUACUCAAAACAAUUCAUUAAUGUUUCAUUUUAAAUUUAUAUUUUUUAUGAGACUCUUUUAAAAUUAAAUUAUUUUAAGUAUUCUUUUAAAAUAAAAAACUUUUAAGUAUUUUUUAUAUGUGCGAGUAUAAGAAAGUAUUAUUAGUAAAUAACUUUUAGCUUUUAAAAUUUCAUCAUUUCUUAUAUAUUUUAAGAUGGAGAAUAUAAUAAAGAGAAAUGAAGACAAUAAUGUAAGAAAAUUUGAAAAGAAGAAAAAUGGGUUUUCAAAAGAAAAAAAAUUUAAAAUCUUGACGAAAAGUGAAAGAGAAAUCUUGAAAAUUUUCAUUCAUAACAAUGCAUUUCAAUAAAAGUAUAUGAAAGUUCAUGUCUAUAAAAAGUUAAUGACCUUUUAAAUAUUAAUUUAUUUUUAAAAACUUUAUAAAAGUUGUAAUUGAAUAUUACUUUAACUUAAAGACUUUUUAAAAGUAUAUAUUGAAUACCUCAUCACUUAUAUAAAAUUUUUCAAAGUCAUUAUUAAAUACAUCCCGACUUUUAAACUUUAUCAAAGUCUUUAAAAAUCUUAAUUAAAUAUACCCUUAUAAGUAUCACAAAAUAGAUUAAGGGGUAAUCUGCUUAUCAGCUUAAAGGCUAAAGCUAAGAAUUUUCUUUUGGCAUAUUGAAAUAGGGUAGCCGGGAUGGAAAUAGGCCUGAGUUAAGAGUAAGAUGGUAAUAAGAGUUAUGAAAAUUCAUUUUGCAGUGAAUUUUAAGAAAUGAUUAAUCAGUAAAAAAUGUUUUAUUGAUUCAUCACUUUUUUUUUAAUUUUCAAAUAUAAUUUUAAGAAAUUUUUUUGUAAUUUUAUCUCUGAGUUUAUAAUUUUUUAAAAUUACUACUUUAUAAAUUAUUAAUCGUUAAAUAAAAUAAUUGGCAUAAAUUCAUUUAUAUAUAAUAUCUCAAGAACUAAUUAUAUUAACAACUAUUCAGAAAAAAUAAUUUAAGUUAAAAUUCUCACAAUUUAGUUUAAAUUUUAUAGAAAAAUGUUGGAUUUUCUGAUAUUGCAUUUGAUUAUGAGACUAUUAAAUUUGUAGGAUUUUACUUGAUAAUAUUCAUGAGAUUAAGAAUUAAAAAAAAAAUAAUUUAAAAUUUAUAUCAGAAUUUGAUAAGUUAAUUUCAUACUUGAUCGAAAUUCAAGACAACUUGAGCUAGAUCUGACCACGAGUCGGUUUGAAACUGAAACUAAACCGGAACAAAUUGGUCAAACUCAAAAUCAACUUAAAGAGAACUAAAAUUAGAGGGGGGCCGAUUUAGGGCUGGUUCAAUAUUUUUUAGAAUUGGACUGGCGGUUUCGAUCUCAAACCGCCCAUUUUCUAAAAAAGAAAUUUAGUAAUAGUAAAUAGUAAAAGGAUUUAUUAUGUUAUACUAUUAUUUCAAUUAAGAAUAAGUUCUUUUAAAUAUUAAUAAUAAUGCAUAUAAUAAUAAUUAUAAUAAUAUAAAUAAUAUUAAAAAUAUUUGAUAAACGAAAAAUGAUAAUGAAUAAAAAGUCAAUAAUAAUAAUAAAUAAACAAAUAAAUUCAUAAAAGGAGAAAUAUUAUGGUACUAAUGCAACAAAUAUUUUGUCGAUAUGACAUAUUAUUUAAAGUUCAUUUAUAUGAUCUUCACCUACUUGACUUUUUCUUCAGGACCUGUAGUACCUUAACUAUUAUAUUGUAUUUUGUUAAGAGAGUAAGGUAUGUUGAGCAAAUUAUGAUAAAAUCUUUUUAAAUAUAUAUAUUUUUUAAAUUAAUGCUAUAUUUAGUUGAAAUUUAUUAAAAAAUAUAAGAGAAAAAAUAAAAUAGAAACGAGAAAAUUGAAAGAGAUAUUUUUAUAUUAUAGAAUGUAUUGACCUACCAAUGUGGAAUUCAUUUAGAAAUUCUAUUUAUUUUGAUAGAAUUUAGUUUAACUAUAAUCAAUUCUACAAAAAUUUAAUUAAGUAGAACUUUCACUCCAUUUAAAGUAUAUAAAUUUUAAAUUUUUUAAAUGAAUUUUUUAAAUUUUACGGAUUUCAAUCAAAUACUGUGUAAGCAUCCAUUUAUAUAUAUAUAUAUAUAUAUAUAUAUAUAUAUAUUUAUAUUUUUUUUUUCUGAAAGAGUUUCUUUAGCUUUAUGUGAUUCUUUUCAAUGUGUUUAAUUGAAAUAAAAUACAAAGUUACAAAAAGAAAUCAGGAAAAAGAAAAAGGAAAAACUUGACUCUUCUGGUCCAAUUCUAGACAUAAUGUACCUAAAUUAACCUUAUACUUGCCAGAGAAUGAGUGAAGAAGGUGCCAAAGGUAAAAUGUUAGAAAUGCAUGUGUGCUUAUUUCUUCAAUUUCUAAUCAAUAGGAUGGCCCCUGCACUCAUCCACUGAAAGCACCCUGCCACCUACUUUCUUAACAUUUUAUUGAAGAAACUUCCUUAUAUAUAUAAAUGCUUCAAUAAGAAAUUUUUUUUAGAAUUUGCUCUUUCAACACAAUUGACCAAAAUUUUCUUGGAUAUUAUUUCUUUUGUGAUUUUAAAUUAAUGUCAUGAAAAAGAUUAACCCAACAAUUGGAAAAGAAAAUAUCAUGUAUCAAGUUAACAAUUAGGAGUUAAUAUCAACUUAUUUUCCUUUUUUUUUUUCUAUAAAAAAAGUAGCUUUUGAAAUUUAGAAAACCAAAGACAUAAAAUAAAAUAAAACAUACCUUUAUUAUACAAUUUCAAAUUAGUAUUUUUAUUUGUAAGAAUAAAGAGAUCUCGAAUUCAAUUCUUUCAGUUAAUUGUCCAUUCAUAUUAAUAGACGAUUCAUAUUAAUAGAGUUUAUUGCUUCUAUAAUCAAUGAUAUAUAAAUAAGUUGGAAAUAAAUAAAUAAAAAUUUAUAAUUGGAUAAAUGUUUAUUCCAAUGUUUUAAAUAAUGGGGCACUAAAAAUAAGUCAACAACAUGUAAUAAAUUAUUGGUUAUAUCUUAUAAAUUAGUGCAUUCUUUUGGUUCAUUUUGCUGUUAUUUAUUUACUGUGAUCAAGUCAUUUUCUAUUCCUAUUUUUUGGGUUAGUUUCAGUCAAAUAGUGAAGUAUCAAAAGAAGAGUAUUCUACUCAAAUCUAUUAGAAUUUUCUUAUAUCUUCAUUUAAGGAGAAUUAGUUAAGUUUGAGUCUUUAAAUAUCAGCAACUGAUGUAAUUCUUUUUACUUGUAUAAGACUUCAGUUUAUUCUCCAGAUCAUUAAGAAUUUCCUUUUUCUUUUGUUUUAUAUUUCCUUUUGUUGUAUUUGAUGAGCUAUCAUCUUUGUACUUAGCUAAAAAAUCAACCAAUAAAAAUGUUUUGCUUGAUGAUGAUCAACAAAAUUUGGAGAUAUUCCUUGAAGCAGAUGCAAAAAGAAGUGAUGAAUCAGCAGCCUUAAGAAUGAAUUCCACAAGUUCAAAAGAUGGUGAACAAACAAUUAGAAGAUCUUUGAGGGACACAAAGCAACCAAGUCACCUUAAAGACUAUGAAGUACAACUUAAUCACUAUAGUGUAACCUCUUGCUUCUUUGUUAGAGCACUGAAUGAAUAAGAACUAGUGUGUUAUGAUGAAGCUAAAGGCUGUCAAGAAUGGGAACUUACAAUGAAAGAAGAGAUUGAAGCUUUAAAGAAAAAUGAUAUGUGGGAACUUGUUCCAAGGCCAGAAAAUUGCACAUCGAUUACAUGUAAAUGGGUUUAUCGUUUAAAGAAGAAACCAGAUGGCACAACUGACAGAUGCAAAGCCCCUCUGGUUACCCGUGGUUUCUCUCGAAGCUAUGGGCUUGAUUAUGAGGAGACUUUUAGUCCUGUUGCAAAAAUGGUGACUGUGAGAUCAGUCAUUUCUUUUGCUGCAUUUAGAAGUUGGAAGCUAUGGCAACUUGAUGUAAAGAAUGCAUUUCUUUAUAGUGAGCUGGAUCGUGAAGUUUAAAUGGAACAACUUCAAGGUUUUGCCUCUGAACAACUUCCUAAUCAUGUUUGUCGAUUGAAGAAGGCGUUGUACAGACUCAAACAAGCUCCCCGUGCUUGGUAUGGUAAAAUUUCUCAAUAUUUCAUCUUUUGUGGAUUCAAAGUUUCUGAUUCAGAUUUGACUUUGUUUAUCAAAUUAGAAUCAAGAAUACAUUUGCUGGUUUUGUUGUAUGUCGAUGACAUGAUAAUUACCGGAAACGAUAAAGCUGAAAUUUCUCGCUUAAGGAAUGAUUUAUCAAUUCGUUUUGAAAUAAAAAAACUUGGGUCAGAUUGGAUGUUUUCUUGGCCUAGAAGUGGAGGAAAUAGAACAGGGAUACUUUAUAUCUCAAAGAAGAUAUGCAAAGAGUCUUUUGCAGUGUUUUGGCAUGGGGGAGUCAAAGGAAAUGUCAACUCCUAUGGAACCACAUCUCAAGCUUAACAAAGAAGAGGGGAAAUUCUUGAAGGAUGCUGUAACAUUUAGGCAACUUGUUGGGAGUCUGAUCUACUUGAAAAUUACAAGACCAGAAAUUGCUUAUUUUGUUAAUGUUAUCUCCCAGUUUAUGCAAAAUCCAAGAACUCCUCAUUUAGAUGUUGCCAAGAGAAUUCUACGAUAUGUAAAGGGUUCAACUGAUUUUGGUCUUAUUUACAAGAAAUCAUGUGAUUUUUUGUUAUAUGGUUUUACUGACGCGGAUUGGGCAGGAGAUGCAAGUGAUCGUCGUUCAACUUCAGGGUACUGUUUUAAUAUUGGCUCAGCUGUUGUCUCAUGGUGCAGUAAGAAGCAACCCACUGUUGCUUUGUCUAGCACUGAAGCUGAAUACAUGGCAGCAACAAUGGCUGCACAGGAAUGCAUUUGGUUAAAAUGUUUGAUGGGAGAGAUUUUUUCUAAGGUUGAUUAUGCUGUGCAAAUUCAUUGUGAUAAUGAAAGUGCAAUCAAACUUGCUUCCAAUCCAAUUUUUCAUGGGCGUACAAAACAUAUUGAAACUCGUCACCACUUUGUUCGGAAAAAAGUGUUGAACUAGGAAAUUGAGUUGAAAGGAAUUCAUACUAGCAAUCAAGUUGUAGAUAUAUUUACAAAGGCUUUAGGCAGAUAUAAGUUCAAAAACUUCAGAGCUACUCUUGGUGUCGUUAACCGUAAGUAUACACUAAGGGGGAGUCUUAUAAAUUAGUGCAUUCUUUUGGUUCAUUUUGCUAUUAUUUAUUUACUAUGACCAAGUCAUUUUCUGUUCCUAUUUUUUGGGUUAGUUUCAGUCAAAUAGUGAAAUAUCAAUAAAAGAGUAUUCUACUCAAAUCUGUUAGGAUUUUCUUGUAUCUUCAUUUAAGGAGAAUUAGUUAUGUUUGAGUCUUUAAAUAUCAGCAACUGAUGUAAUUCUUUUUACUUGUAUAAGACUUCAGUUUAUUCUCCAGAUAUUAACUUCUUUUGCUUCAUUAAGAAUUUCCUCUUUCUUUUGUUUUAUAUUUCCUUUUGUUUUAUUAUAGUCAUUAGCGUUAAAUGUAUAUCCUAAAAGCCAAUUAGACUUUUGCUUUUUGAUUCAUACAUUGUGAUAUUAUUAUGUAAUGAAUAUCUUUUUAUUUAAUGGUAGUUGUCUAUCAUUCAUUUUUGUAGUAAUAUAAUUAUUGAAUGGGUCCAAUAAUAUUUAUUAAAGACUCUAUUCUCAAGAGCUGAGAAUAUGAGUGACAGAUGAUUUGUAGAAUAAAUAUUAUAAAAUAGUUCUUGGUCGUAAGAUUAAAUAUUAGAUAUCUUUAAUCCAAAAGACCAACAUAAUGUGUUUAACCCUAUGAUUAGUAUGAGAUACUAAUAUAUAUAAGUUGGUGAGUCUCAUGCCAUUUAGUAUGAGUUACUAAGUUAAUCAUUAUGGGUCACUUGUGAGAUGAGUGGACUGAACAUGAUUUGAAGAAAUAACAAAUCACAUGAAUAAUUUACUCAAGUCACUGAUUCAUUAUUAAGUUAUGAUGGUGUAAUUAAUCUUCAGACCUGAGGUGAGUUGUCUCCUGAAUAUGUAAUUGGAAUUUGUUUAUGCUUUAGAUAUUCAUUCAUACCUAGAAUAGGUACUUGCAGAUAGUGGCUCCAGUUUCAUAUGCAUGGAGGCAGGUGUUCAUCAACAAGGAAUCCAUUGCCUUGAGUAAACAAGGAGAAUAUCCUAUGCAAUUCAAUAACAUCUUGACUAAGAAAUUAUUGGCUGAGGUAAUUAUGAUUAAUAGAAAAUAGAUUUUUGCAUUAAUCAUAUUUAGUUGAGAUGUAUCCUAGAUUUGGUCAUAGAAUCAAGUUAGUGGAUUUGACUAUUCCAUGAUCCUCACUUGAUCGGGAUAUUAUUCAAUGAAGAAUUUAAUUACACGGUAAUCAUAAAUAAAGGGUUCAUGGAUGAUCAAUGCCUUUAUUAUUAAUUAGAUAAUUAUAAUAUGUUACUAGACAUCAAUUAUAAUUUAUAGGAACGAUUGAGGGACAAUUAUUUAAUUAUUUUUUUAGUUGAUUAAAGUGUUUUAAUUAAUAUUAAAGAGUUUAAUAUUAGAUUCUCAUUGCCAAUUAAUAAUGAACCUAAAAAGUCACACAUGUUAAGAUCAACUCAAGUAAGGCGAUGGACUUGACUUGUACCUCGAGUAGGAACACUAGCAUCUUUUGAAGUUAAAGUCUGUAAAUGUCUAACUAAUAAUAAUGUAUAAUAUAUAAGUGUUAUAUAUUGAAAGAGCUUGACACAUGUCAUCACAAAAGGUUUGUAAUAACAUAUAUUUAUACAACAGCUUGAAACGUGUCAUCAUAAAAGGGUUUUAUGAUGACACGUGUCAUGAAAGUAACUUGACAUGUGUCAUCAUAAAAAAGUUUAUAAUGACAUGUGUAGAGAAAGCAUCUAGGCAUGUGUCAUUAUAAAAUAAUUUUAUGAUGACAUGUGUUAGGAAAGCAGCUUGAAACAUGUCAUCACCAAAAGAGUUUAUGAUGACAUGUGUUAAGAAAGUAGCUUGACAUGUGGUGUCAAUAUAGUUUGACACGUGUCAUUAUAAAAGAGUUUUAUGAUGACAUGUGUCAAUACUGUUUGACACAUAUCAUCACAAAAGAGUUUUGUAAUGACAUGUGUUUGUACAACUGUGUUAAGGAUUAUGAAUCUUUAACACUAUGUAGGAGAGUUUUUUACUCCUAUAAUCAAAAGAAAAUAGAGAUAAUUUGACAUACUUACUAUUAUAACAAUAUUAUCAUAGUAGAAAACUUGAGAGUGGAGAAAGAGUUCUUCAUCUUUAAAGAUUGAAUAGCUUUGCUUGAGGUUGAUUGUAUGAGAUAAUCUAGAGGAUUUGCAAUUACAAAUCUCAAUUUGAUUCUCUAACAGAAACAUUAUCAACAAUCAAAAAUCGAAUUUCGCUGUUCUAAGAUUGUAGUCUUUUUCUUUGUGUUCUUCAUAUUCAUAAAAGAAAAACUAUUUUCUUUUUUCAAUUUAAAUCUUCAAUUACAACUUGUAAUUUUAAUUUUCAUGAAAUGUGAAAUGUUUAGAAUUUCCAUUGCGUCACUGUCAUGCAUUUUCCAACAAUUAGUCCUCAUUUCAUUGAUAUAUGAGGCCAAAUAGUAUAAGAAUCCUUUGGGUUUGGUUGAAUUGAGUAUGGGCGACCUCGUGACAAUUGAAAAAAGUUUGUUAUCUAAAGUUCCAUUCACAUUCACAGAGAAGCCAAUAUCAAUUGGUUUGUUAGGUAUAAUCCCAUUCACAUUCAUAUUGCAAAGUUACAACCAAUAAUAAUCUGCUUUUUUAACACUCUAACAGAAUUACCAAACAUAUUAUUUUACAGUUCUUCUACAGCAAGACUGUAAAACUUAGCUAUACCAUUAUCCGUGGUCAAUAGUAGAUGUAUAUACAAUAACUCCUGUCAAAAUAGAGUUAAGGUUUCAGCACAUAAUAGUGUAGAUAAUGAAAAAUACCAUAGUGUAGCCUAACCAUUGGAAAGGGAGAAGAGACAGAAAUGAGCUAGAAUUCAGUCACUUUCUCAUAUUAGGCCAAUCAUUUCAACUUGUCAUUUGAAAUGGAGAUUCAGUAAACAUAGCAAAUAACAUGACUACAAAUUCACUACUAUAGUAGGGUUUUGAACAUAAAGAAAAAGUCAUGCAAUUCUUUUGGACAUUUUCUUAGUUUUGGAAGAUGGAAUAGUAUGCAUUAAAUGUUGAAUCACAUGUAGCUUUCUUUUCCUUUUUCCCUUGAUGCAAAGGAAUUAAACAGGAGUUAAUUUGUAUGCAUUAUUACAUUUUUCCUUUGUUCAACAAAAGGCCUUGAAGUAGUGAUUUACAUUGUGUUGAAGCAUAGGAGAGCAUCUAAAAGAGGGAGAUAGGUGGAGAAAAAUGAUAAUUGAAGUGGGUCCUCCAAUUACCUCAGUGGAGCAAAAUUAGUCACCGGAAGUGGAAGCUGCAAUGUCAAGCAAAGCAAAAUCCAUCUCCCACCCAACCAAUCCUUCUCUUAUAGAAAAAGAGAAGCAUGUGAAUUUUUAAAAAACAAAAAAAAGUGGGCACAUGAAAACAACUUUUAACAUCAUCAUCAUCAUCAUCAUCAUCAUUUAUCUUCUUCUGAUUUUCUUCUCUUCUUUCUUGAUUCUCACCUACUACUACCCAUAUACCCACCUCUUCAACUUGCACAAAGCAAGCUCACCCCCAUUUCCACUGUAAGUCACUCUUUCUCUCACCUUUUUUUUCUUUUUCCUUUCCCUCAUGUCGACCCUUUUCCUUGAAUUCAUGGAUUGAUAGUGUCACCAACCUAUAUACAAAAAGGAGAUAAUAUAAAAACUAGAGGAGAAAAGAAAAGCUUCAAUGCUUUGCAAGUAAUCAAUCUUUUUACUACUAACUACUACUACUACUCUCUGAAACAAUUCUGUUUUUGUUCUGUUCUUUUAUGUUCUCUUUCCUUCUAAAACAUUCUUUCUCUUAUUAAAUCUUGCCUUUGCUUUCAUGCAUUCUUCUUUUAAUACUUUUAGAAGGUAUCAUUGGUUUCCAAAAGGGAGAUUCAAGUAGGUGUAGGAUCUCUUUUUAUAUCAUUCUAUAUCAGUUUGUUCUGUUUCAGCUCUGUUCUUGUUCUGUUUCUUGCCAAAUCCAAGCACUAUAUAUAUAUAUAUAUAUAUAUAUAUAUAUCUUAGAAACCCCUUGAAUCAUCCAAUUCAGAAAGAUUUAUUUUCUUGCAAUGGAUUCUUUCAAUCAAGCUAGAGUGUUCCGAUACAAUCCGAGUUCGAACACAAUGACUGAUGGGGAUGGUGAUCCUGAAGAGUCCGGGAUUCUUGAAAUAUAUGUUCACCAUGCUAGGAAUAUUCAUAACAUAUGCAUCUAUGAUAACCAAGACGUGUAUGCAAAAUUCUCUCUUACUUAUAACCCAGAUGAGACUCACUCAACUAGAAUCAUCAAUGGAGGCGGAAAGAACCCAGAAUUCAAUGAAAAACUAGUGAUCAAAGUCACUCAACUUGAUGCAGUUCUGAAAUGUGAGAUUUGGAUGCUUAGUAGAGCUAGAANNNNNNNNNNNNNNNNNNNNNNNNNNNNNNNNNNNNNNNNNNNNNNNNNNNNNNNNNNNNNNNNNNNNNNNNNNNNNNNNNNNNNNNNNNNNNNNNNNNNNNNNNNNNNNNNNNNNNNNNNNNNNNNNNNNNNNNNNNNNNNNNNNNNNNNNNNNNNNNNNNNNNNNNNNNNNNNNNNNNNNNNNNNNNNNNNNNNNNNNNNNNNNNNNNNNNNNNNNNNNNNNNNNNNNNNNNNNNNNNNNNNNNNNNNNNNNNNNNNNNNNNNNNNNNNNNNNNNNNNNNNNNNNNNNNNNNNNNNNNNNNNNNNNNNNNNNNNNNNNNNNNNNNNNNNNNNNNNNNNNNNNNNNNNNNNNNNNNNNNNNNNNNNNNNNNNNNNNNNNNNNNNNNNNNNNNNNNNNNNNNNNNNNNNNNNNNNNNNNNNNNNNNNNNNNNNNNNNNNNNNNNNNNNNNNNNNNNNNNNNNNNNNNNNNNNNNNNNNNNNNNNNNNNNNNNNNNNNNNNNNNNNNNNNNNNNNNNNNNNNNNNNNNNNNNNNNNNNNNNNNNNNNNNNNNNNNNNNNNNNNNNNNNNNNNNNNNNNNNNNNNNNNNNNNNNNNNNNNNNNNNNNNNNNNNNNNNNNNNNNNNNNNNNNNNNNNNNNNNNNNNNNNNNNNNNNNNNNNNNNNNNNNNNNNNNNNNNNNNNNNNNNNNNNNNNNNNNNNNNNNNNNNNNNNNNNNNNNNNNNNNNNNNNNNNNNNNNNNNNNNNNNNNNNNNNNNNNNNNNNNNNNNNNNNNNNNNNNNNNNNNNNNNNNNNNNNNNNNNNNNNNNNNNNNNNNNNNNNNNNNNNNNNNNNNNNNNNNNNNNNNNNNNNNNNNNNNNNNNNNNNNNNNNNNNNNNNNNNNNNNNNNNNNNNNNNNNNNNNNNNNNNNNNNNNNNNNNNNNNNNNNNNNNNNNNNNNNNNNNNNNNAUGUUGAUGGGUAACAUUUCUUCAAAUAUGGGUUUCAUUAACUUUCAUAAAUAACAAUUUCUUAGAUUUGUGUAUUGUUUUUCUGAAAUUAGUGGUUAAUUCUUUGGUGGCUAUAGAAUUACUACUUGCUUUUCAAGCAUUUAUAACAUUUCUCAUGUUGUUCUUAGUGCAAUAAAAGGUGCAUGUGUUAUAUAACAUAAUUACAUAAUUCAGAAUACCUAUUACUCUCUCUAUUCGGUAUUAUAUAAAUAUAUAUAUAUAUAUAUAUAUAUAUAUAUAUAUAUAUAUAUAUAUAUAUAUAUACUCUGGUAUUACUCAUUAGUAUAGAAAUAUUCGAUAUAUAAUAUUUAUUAAACAUAUUUAACUAUUUUAUAAAUAUUUUUUUUUGUGUUAUUGUAUAUUUUAUAAACUUAAUAAAUAUAAAAAAAAAUAUAAAAGACAAAAUUUAAAUAAUCCUAAUUUGAAUUGGCCAGGCAUGAAAAUAAACAACAACAGUAAGCUUAAUACAGCAAUAAUUAGAUAAUCACUACAAGUGAUUUAGGCAACAUUCAUGUAUCCUAUAUAUAGUGAGUGACAGCACUAAUUAAUUCUAUUAGAAUUAAAAAUAAAUCAAUUACAUAUAGAAUUAUGGUAGAAUAAGUUAGUAAUUGUUAAUUAAUUAUAAGAAUAUUUUAGUUAGUUUAAUUUCUUUAAUUUCGUACUUUUAUAUAUAAUAAUUUUUUUUUUCACGUGCAACGAACGUGAAUUAUAAUAAUUUGACUCGUUAUUAUUUAUAUAUUAAUAAAUUAAAAUAAUUAAAAUAAAAAUUAAUGUAGUAAUUUAUUUAAUAAAUUAAUAUUACUAUUUUGUUAUAUUAAAGAAUAAUAUAUUCAGAAUAAAUUAGUUAGUUGAUAAAAAUAUAAAAAAAAUAUAAUCAAUUAACUCUAUUAUGCGAGUCUUAUAAUUAUUAAAAAUUAAAAAUGUCUCUUUUAGUUUAUUUUUUUUUCGUUUUCCAUUAAUAACAUUUUAUUUUUUAUUUGAAAAAAGAAAUUAACAUUUUAGUCUUUUAAAUUUUAUGAUAAAUUUAAUAUAUCCACGUAUAAAUUAAAAGUUGACUAUUUGUUAUGAAAAAAGUAUUUUUUUAUUUCCGUGUGAAUAUUAAAUACUUGAAUUAUUAUCAUCUAAAAAAUAAAAUAUUAUAUAUAUUUUAAAUUUAUCGUCAUAAAUAUUUUUAAUGUUAAGAUAAUAAAAAAAUCCUUAAAUUAUAGUAAAUUCAUCUACAAAUUAAUCUAUUAUACCUCAUAAAAUUUAUAUUGAUUAUAGCUAGCAAUAAAAAAAUUUAAUAGAUUAUUACAAAAAUUUAAAAUUCACUAGAAAUUAAUUUUAUUUAAAGAUUUAUACACAAGUAAUUUAUUUUAAUUUAAUAUAUAAAAUAUAGUAAACACCUUAAAAAUUUAUAAAACUAAGCCUUUUAUUUCUAAUAUUCUAUUUAAGUUUAGAUGUCUAACAUAUAUCCCAGCUAUUAUCAUUAUUUGGAUUGAUAAUAAUUAAAUAUCUUUUUGGUUGAAGAAAUAUUUAUUUAUUUAUGUGCAUUGCAUAUAAAUUUAAAUUUAGUUCAUUAUUCAAAAUUAAGUAAUUUUAAAUAUAUAAGUUGAUAUUUUAUGAUCAGUAUUAUAAUUUUACGAAUCACCAAUGUAAAGACAAUCAAAGAUUAUCAAAUAAUAACACAAUUAUAAUUAGACGAUGCAUGCAGCCUUUAGGGAGUGUUUUAUUUAGAAAUUUUAUAGAGCUGUUAGUUGUUUCUUACUCAAUAACUAUAUUAAACCUAUUUGGUAAGACUUAACAAUCAACGACUGAUAGCUAAUUUAAUCUCAAUCAGCUGUCUAUCAAUUAUAUUUUAGAGUUUUUUUAUUAGUUAAUAAUUAAUUUAAUUAUUUAUUUGGACAACAUUAUCUGUACUAAAAUUUAUUAAUAACAACUUACUUUAAGUUGAUCUCAUAUAAUUAGUUUUUUAUAAUUUUUAAUUAGUUAAUAUUAGAUUAACUAUAUAAUUAAUACUAAAAAUAAAAAUAAAAUACUAAUUUUUUAGAUCAAAAAUUAUUUUAACAAAACUAAGUUAAUAGUUAGUAUAAUAUUAAAAUAUAAUUAAAAUAUUAUAAACUAAAAUUAGAGUUAUUAUCUAUUUAAAAUUUUAAUAGAGUUAAACUUUUAAAAUUAGACUUAUAUUAAAUGAAUUAUCAAUUGUAAAUAUUACAUGUAAUUAAAUCAAAUUAAUAAAAGAUUUAGUUUGCAAUUUUGUCUCUUUAUCAACACUUGAUAAUAAAUAUGGUUUCUUGCAUAUAUUGUCAAAAAAUCAAUAAUCUUCAAGACAGAAAUGAGUUGAAUAAAUGAAUCCAGAAAUGUUAACUCAGAUUAAAUAACUCUAGGCGGAGAAUGUUAUUAUGGGAGUUUCAGCAAGAAUAUGGUAACUAUAAAGUUGGUGGGCAUUGAUAGAGAAAAAUUAAAACACAAAUAGUGAUUAAAACAAGCUAAGCUUAUCCCAACACAUCAUUGUUCAAACUCAAGCUGUUUAGAAUAUUAAUAUUUUUUAAUAUCUCAUUUAUUUUUAUUAUAUAAAUAAGAAUAGCAAAAGUAAAAUAAAUUAAAACAGAAUAAAUUUUCUUGAUAAUGAAAUUAGUAAAAAGAAAACCACAGGAUAAUAAGAGCAAAGUGAUAAAAAAAACCUAUUCAAAAAAUUAAGUAAAGAUAUUUUGCUAUGUUAAAAAUAAGAAAAAAUAUAUCAUAAAAGAUGAUUAUUGCAUGUCAUUUAUUGUUUUCAAACUUUAGUUUAUGAAAAAUUUUAUAUAUAUAUAUAUAUAUAUAUAUAUAUAUAUAUAUAUAUAUAAGAUGUAUCAUAAUUAAAUAUAAAAUUUUCUUUAUUAUUAUAGAUAAUAUAUUAUCUAUGAUGAAUUUAAAAGUUUAUGAAUAUAUCGAAUCGAGCUUUUAUCUUUUCAAGCUCGGUUUAAAUUCUUAAAAAUAAAAUCAAGCUCAAAUCAUUAUACUUUUUGAACGAACUUUAACGAGUCGAAUCCAAGUCAAAUUUAAAUCGUUUAGAUCGUUUUACACCUCUAACCACAAACACAUCUAGAAAAACAAAGAAAAGCAAAAAUUAUAAAGGAAAAGGAAUUGGUCAGAACAAAAAAAAAAAAUUACUAUAUUUUUCUAUUUAUAUUUAAAACUUAUUAUUUUUACUGUUUUUCGCAACAUUAGUUGAAAUUAAUCCAAUUAAGUUGAAUCUCAAUGAGGAUACUUAUAGUCCACAAACUAUUAAAAUGCACUUAGUUAAUUGACAAUUAUGUUAAUUAAUAAUUUUGCUCUUUUGAAUUACAAUAAUAACCUGCAUAAAUUAAAUUUACAUGUGUAAUUUUUUAUACAUUAUAAUAAAUUAAAUUACUAGUGCCAAAUUAAAAAUUUGCAAAAAAGGAGUAUGAAUUUUCUAUGGUAUGAUUUUGACUAUUCAAAUUUUAAUAAAUAAAAUAAAAAAAUAUAUAUUACUUUUUCUCAUUGUUGAUCGGUUUAAUCAUAUAUAGAUAUUUAAAAAUAUUUUAGAGCUUUAAUGAUAUAUUUUUAUAUAUAAAAUGGUGAAAGAAUAUGUUUUUACCUCACUUAAGUUUAAUUGUCUAUUUUCAGAUAAUAUUAACCAAACGAAAAAAAUAUGGAGCUAAAUAUUCGAAAAGAAGCUUAAUUAGACAUGUACGCAUCAAGGCCCAAGAUUAAGAUGCAUGGACUGCUAAUUACAAGGCCCAAGAGACAUUUUAGUAUUUUGAAUAAUUGUUAGGAUUUAUAUUAAGAGUUAUUUAUAGGAUAGUAUUUGGUGGAGAUAAAGAUACUUAAAGUCUUAUCUAUUAGAUAGACUUAUAUUAUGUAUAUAUCUCUAGGGAGGCUUAUUUAGAGGAGGACUCCUUUCUAUUUAUAUCUCUGUAAAAUUUAAUUUGGAGGGAGAAGGAGAGUUCUCUCCUAUAUGCUCUCUACACCUGCCCACCAUUAUUCUCUCCAUAAUUUUUUACAGUUCUUCCAUAAACAUUUUAGUUUAGUUUUCAUUACUCUUUUUAAGACCUAAGGAGAUUUUCAAGAAGUGGAGAGUGAGGAACAAUCUUCUUCCUACUUGAAGAAAUCCUGAAUCUAGAGGAAGCUUUAAUUUUCAGUCUUAUUUUAUGUCUUUCUAUUUAAUAUCAUGAUCAUUGGGUUAAAUAUAUUAGGUUAGUUUUCAUAAGUGUUUAGGUUAGCCUUUUUACUUUUGUAUGAAUCUUGUUAUUUAUUUAUUUAAUGAAUGAUUUAUUUACCUUCAUAUAUGUAUUAGUAAUAUUUGUUAUGAAAAAUUUUAGAUUAAAAGUAUUAGAAACAUCAUCUUUACUUUAAUCUAUAUUGGUAUAAGAAACCUAGGUUGUAUCAUUAGCUUCAGUGAUUUAGGAAAAAGGCACAUCACUAUCUCAUUUAUUAGAUCUAGCAUUAAAGUAAAACAAGGAGAACACUAAGUAAAUGGCUAGACUAAAUACCAUCUUUAACAUAUAGUUUCAAAAUCAUAAGCAUUUGCAUUGUAUAUUUAUAGUUACUUUAUUUUGAGAAUACUAUUCUCUCAAAUACUGAUUUAGAGUGUUUAUAUCUACUUUUAUUAUUUUGUAUUGAUAAUUAGUUUCUAUAAUAAGUGGCCUCACAGUUCCCUGAGAGAUCGAUCUCGUAGUGAACUUACCCUUACUAUAGGAAUGGUUCGUAUACUUGCGAGUACUAAAUUAGAUACAUCAAAUUUUGGCGUCGUUGCCAGAAAACUGUGUCCAGAUUUAUUAUAUUGAUUGAUUAUCAAAAGUAUCUUGUGUUUCUUAGUUUCUUUUAUGUUUUGUGAUUUAUUUUGUUUAUAUGUUUUUAUUUUGUUUGUUUAGUUUGUGUUUUGUAUUUUGUAUUUUAUUUACGUCUUUUUAUUUUAUUUUUAAAUUUUAAAUUUUUUAAGUUUUUAAAUCUGAGAUUUCUUUUUAUUUUAUAUGCUUAGCAGGAAACAAGUAGAAAAAGAAUUAAAAGAAGAAGUUGAUAUCAUGGCAAACCCACUACGAGAAAUAGGAGCUUAAAGACCAAUGGCUAUGAAAAAUUAUGCACGACUUAUAAUUGGUAACACUACUUCAUGCAUAGUUCUAGGUGAUGCAUCUAGAAAUUAUGAACUUAAGAACAUUCAUUUUAAUAUGCUUCCUUCAUUUUAUAGUAUACCUAGUGAGGAUGCAUUAACAUUCAAUAGAGAAUUUUAUAUUAUAGUUCAUACUUUUCUAUUAUCUGGACUUAAUGAGGAUCAAUUAAGAAUGAUGUGCUUCCCUUAUUCAUUGAAAGAUAGAGCAAAGGCUUGGUUAAUGACCUUACUUCCUAAUUCUUUGAGAAAUUGGGAUGAAGUUUAUCAAAAAUUUAUGAGUAGAUUUUAUUCACAUCUGAAGACCAAAGAAUUAAGAGCUAAAAUUUCUAAUUUUUAAUAAAAAAAAUGCUGAAUCUUUUCAUGAAAUAUGGGAUCGCUUCAAAUUACUUUUAUUUCAAUGUCCAUACUAUGGAUUUCCACUCUCAAUAACUAACUAAUCAUUUUAUGAUGGGUUGACACAACAAUAUCAGCAUGGUUGAUAAUGCAACUGGGGGUGCUAUGUUAGAAAGGACAGCUGAUGAUGUUUAUGACAUCUUUGAGAUGUUAGGAGUCAAUUCUCAACAAAUGAGUGUGAGGACAAAAAGGGUAGGAGUAAAUGAAGUAGUAGCUAGUAGUGAGAUGGCCAUGCAAUUAGCUGAAUUGACUAAGCAAGUUAAGAUGCUUGCUUCAAUAAAAAAAACUCACCAAAUAAUAAGAUAUGCUGUAUUUAUGGUAUUUAUGGUCAUGAUGCUAAUAUUUGUUCAUCUUUUGAUAAUUAUAGAGGAAGUAUGUAUGAACAAACAAAUUUGAUGGUUUCUUACCAACACAUGCAUCCUAUGAAUGACCCUUAUUCCAACACAUAUAACACAGGUUGGAGAAACCAUCCAAAUUUUUCUUGGAAAUACAAUGAACAAAACCCACCAUAAUUAUUGAGAAAGUGAAAUCAACCUCAUUACCAAGACCAAUAUUCUCAAUUCCAAAGGGACUCCAAUCCUUUCUUUCAAGAUCAAGAACAAAUUCUUUAAUCUAAUGAACAAAUGAAGCCAAUUUUGGAAAAAAAACUCCAGUUAUUUAUGAUAGGCUGGAGAGGAAUGAGAAAAAGAUUCAUUAAGACUUCAAUAAAAUAUUUAGAAGCUCAAAUGAGAUAAAUUGUUGAAGUUGUUCAAGAGCUCAAUAAAGAGAAACUAUCAAGUCAACCUGAACAAGACAAUUCCAUUACUACUAUUAGAAAAUGUGAGGUUGUCGAUAAUAAUAUUAUGGACACUGAAAAGAAUUCUUCUUCUUAUGCAGGUACAUCUAAAAAUGAUGGAUUAAUGCAAAGCAAUAAGGAGAGCAUACAAAAAGAAGAAAAGUAUAGCGUAAGAUUAGGCUUGAGAAGAAAAAAAUGAAGCAUUUUCUGGACAUGAAUUUCAUAAGGUAGCUUAGCCUUAUAGACUACCUAUUCCUUUUUUAAACCAACCCAAUUAGAGCAAAAAUUUUAAGAAUAUUAAGAUACUCUCUAAAGUUAAUACUAAUCUACCUUUGUUGGAUGUUGUCAGGAAUAAGCCAGUUUAUGCAAAGUUCUUUAAAGAGUUGAACACCAACAAAAGGCGAUUGAAGAUCAGUAUCCUUCUUCUCGGUCAUAAAUGAGCUAAGUUGAGUUGUAGCACUCUCAACUUAAGCAAUAGUAGCUCAGAGUUUGUCCUCCCAUUUUUGCUCCUUGGUAGAAAAGUCUUCAAACUGCUUUUGAAGAAUGUGUUCGACAUUCUCAGCCUUUACGCGAUCAUGAGAUGUUUGUUCACUUAAUUACCUCUUGUAAUACUUUUAAGCAUUACAACAGUCACGGUGUACAUAUAAAGAGAUACCACCCUAUUUAUAAAAACAAAAUCAAAGGAUUUGCUCAUUGUUCAAAUAUAUUUAGAUGAUAUUAUUUUCAGAUUUACUAAUUACUCUCUUUAUGAGCAAUUUUCUAAGCAUAUGCAAGGUUAGUUUAAGAUGAGCCUCAUAGGUGAGCUUAACUUCUUAUUGGGAUGACAAAUAAAGAAAUUAGAUGAGGAAAUUUUCAUCUGUCAAACAAAAUACAUUAAGAAAUUGAUAAAGAAGUUUAAGAUAGAAGGACUUAAGUCCAUUGAGUCUCCAAUAUGUACCUCAACCAAACUAGAAAAGGACAAAAAAGGCAAAUCAGUUGAUAUAAAGCCUGGACAUGAACAAGAAAAUUGUUUUCAACUGAUUGGGGUACUCGGACUGGUGGUAUUCAGAGAACCGCGCCAAUGGAGGUCAAGGUAGAGGCGGAGGCAAGUUUGGACGGGGGGAGGAAAGAGUGCUGCAAAGGAGGCCAUGGGUAGGUAGCAGACACUACAACUACCUUGAGGCCUGUUGCUCAAGCACCCAUCUAGGAUUUAGAUCGUCGUGGCAUUCCUGGUCUUUCGGAUGAUCAGUGGGCUAUGCUUGUGCACCUAGUUAAUAUUUCAAAAGGGCAGUCUUCCUCAACCGAAAAGUUCAUCAGUAAGUUUGGUUCUUCUACUGAAUGGAGCAUCGAUAUUGAAUGCUAAAAUCACAUGACUGGUAAUGCUAGAUUAUUUAGCAAAUUAUUUGAUGUUUCUCCUACUUCUGUUGGGCUGCCUACUAGUAAACAAACCAUUGCCGCUAAGGAAGGCACGAUAACUUUGAACAAACAUAAGGUACUCCAUAAUGUAUUAUAUGUUCCAGAUCUUACUUGUAAUUUGCUAUUAGUGUCUCACUUGCUUAUAGAUCUAUCUUAUUCUGUCACUUUUACUGAUAAGCUUUGCAUCAUACAGGACCGUGCUUUGAGGACUCUGAUUGGAGCGGGUGAGCAAUGUCAUGGAGUUUAUUGGUUUCAGCCUUUGCGACAACUUCACGCUUAUCAAGAAAUUAUAGGAAAUAAAAGAGAUUUGUGGCAUUAGUUAGGACAUUCUUCUCGGAAAGUAGACUUUCUUUUGCCUAAUAUUAUUAGAGAUAAUGGAAAUAAAGAUGUUAAUGUUAUCCAUGAACCUUGUGAUAUUUGUUUAAGAGCCAAGCAAACUAAAAGCAUAUUUUCUUUGAGUAAUAAUAGAGUAAAAGAUGUUUUUGAUUUAAUCCAUUGUGAUAUCUGGGAUGCGUAUACCUUGCCUGCUAGUUGUGGUGCUCAUUAUUUUUUAACUAUUAUUAAUGAUUGUUCUCGAGCCCUGUGGGUUUAUUUAAUGACUACCAAAUCUUAGGUGCCUCAAUUUAUUAAGGAUUUUUGUAGAACGGUUCAAACUCAAUUUGACAAACAUGUUAAGAUUCUAUGUAGUGAUAAUGAAAAAGAAUUUAUAUGUCUUCAUCGGUUUUAUGCUGACAAUGGUAUUAUUCAUCAAACCUUUUAUGUUGACACUCCAUAACAAAAUGGAAGGGUAGAACGUAAACAUCAACAUAUUCUUAAUAUGGCUCGGGCAUUACUUUUUCAAAUAAUCUUCCUAUUAUUUUUUUGGGGAAAAGUAUAAUGACAGCUGCCUAUGUCAUCAACCGAACCCCUACCCCAUUGCUAAAUAAUAAAACACCACACAAAAUUCUCUUUGGUUCACCUCCUAAGUAUGAUGUCCUUCGCGUAUUCGGUUGUCUCUGUUUUGCCAAAAAUCAACAUCAUGUGAAAGAUAAGUUUGGUUCUCGCUCUCGUUGAUGUGUGUUUAUAAGGUAUCCAUUUAGUAAAAAGGGGUGGCGUUUGUAUGACUUAGAGGAAAAAGUGUUCUUUAUAUCUCGAGAUGUUUCUUUAUGAACAACAGUUUCCUUUUUCUAGUAAAGUCUACACACCUAAUACUGAUGAUGUGUUUGAAAAUAAGAAUUAUGAUAUUAUGACUUAUUUUAAGGAUACUGCUUUAGCAAGGGGGAGUGAGGAGCACUCAGGUAUGGCAGGAGAAAUCGAUAGCGGGGUUAUACUACACAUCACACCACCUACGGUUAGCAACUUGGACAUUGUUCAACAACUUGGUACCACUUCAGAUACUACAGAGGUUGUGAUUAAUAAAGAAAAUGUUUUGCCUGAAAUUGGUCGAGAUCAUCGAAUAAAGAAACCUUCUAGUAAACUUAAGGGUUUCAUCACUAACACCAUUCGCGUUACAAACCCUAUAACAUCACUUGUCUCUACUUCGUUAAAGUUCUCAAGCACUCAUUUUCCUAUUGCUUAUUAUGUAAAUUGUGAUAAGUUUUCUGUGAGACACACCCGUUUUUUAGUAGCAAUUACUACAGGAACUAAACCCACAUCUUUUAAAGAAGCUGUAACGGAUCCUAGUUGGCGAAAAGCUAUACAAGACGAAAUAGAUGCACUUGAGAGAAACAGGACUUGGACUUUAGAGGACAUUCCACCUAGAAAGAAAACGAUCGGUUGUAAGUAGGUCUAUAAAGUCAAGUACUAGUCUGAUGGUAUAAUUGAACGAUUAAAGGGGCCCUAGUAGUGUACGGAAAUCUGCAAAUUGCCGGACUUGACUUUAAUGAGACAUUUUCCCCGAUAGCAAAAAUGGUCACAGAUUGCACAUUUUUGGCUAUAGUAGUAGCAAGAAAGUGGGAACUCCACCAAAUGGAUAUGCAAAAUGCCUUUCUACAUGGAGAUCUUAAUGAGGAGGUAUAUAUACAACUCCCUCCUAAUUGUAACUCCGCUGCUUCGAGUAAGGUGUAUCGAUUAUGCAAGUCAUUGUAUGGACUCCGGCAAGCGCCUCAGAAUUGGUUUGCUAAGCUCUCGACUGCUCUGAAGGACAUUGGUUUCAAGGAAUCUUAUGUUAAUUACUCAUUGUUUAGUUAUUUUAAGGGUAAUGUUGUUUUACAUGUUCUUGUAUAUGUGGAUGACCUUAUCAUUACCGGUUCUUCUUCUUUGGUAAUUAGAAAAUUCAAGCAACAACUCAACAAGAGAUUUCAUAUGAAAGACUUGGGCAUUCUCAAGUAUUUUCUCGGCAUUGAAGUAACAUGUAGGAAGGAUGGUUUGUUUCUUUCGCAACGCAAAUUUGUUCUUGACAUUAUAAGUGAGGCUAGCUUACUUGGCGCACGCCCUGUUUUUACACCCAUGGAACAUAACCACCAUCUUGCCACCAUCAAUGGUGUCGCCUUUGAUGAUCCGGAGAAGUACCAGAGGCUUGUAGGGUGCCUAAUCUACUUGACAAUUACCCGACCUGAAUUGUAUUACUCUGUACAUAUAUUACCUCAGUUCAUGGGCGAUCAUCGUGUUGAACAUUAAGAUGCAGCUUUGAGAGUUAUGCGGUAUUUAAAAAGUUUUCCUGGACAGGAUAUUCUGCUGCGCUAGGAGAGCAAUUUUCAACUCUCUGCCUUCUGUGAUAGUGAUUGGGCGAGUUGCCCUCUAACUUGGAAAUCAUUGACGAGUUGCUUUAUUUUAUUAGGUUCUUCUCUUAUCUCUUGGAAAAUGAAAAAAUAACUAAAUGUUUUUCGAUCUUCUGCGGAGGCCAAGUAUAGAUUUAUGGCCAUUACUACAGGUGAGUUAAAAUGGUUGAAAUCCCUUUUGGCUUGUUUUGAGAUACAAUAUGUGCAUCCCAUGCGAUUGUUUUGUGAUAGUCAAGCUGCUCUCUAUAUAGCGGCUAAUCUGGUUUUCCAUGAACGAACGAAACAUAUCGAAAUGGACUAUCACUUUAUUCGUGAUGCCUUAUAAGAUGAAAUAAUUUCUACGUCUCAUAUUUGAACUAAUGCACAGAUCGCGGAUAUUUUGACCAAAGCUCUUAGUAAAUCACAGUUUUCUUUACUUCUUCGCAAGUUGGGCAUUUGCAAUCUCCAUGCUCCAACUUGAGAGGAAGUAUUAUUGGAAUAUCUUUGUAAUUACUUUAUAAAUAUUUUUUAGGCUACAACAUCUCUAGAUGAGUUGUCUUCUUGAUAUCCUUUCCUAUAUUAACUUAUUUGUUUCCUAUAUUAGCUUUCCUAUUUAUUUCCUAGAUUAGCUUUCCUAUUUAUGUAAAUAUUCUUGGUGUACAAGCAUCUAUAGAAUAGCUUUGGCCAAAUUUAAGAACACAUAAUCAUUUCACAAAGCUCUAUAACUUUACUUCAAUUAAAUUUAUUUUAGUAUUGUUUAAAUAUUUUUUUUUUGUCUAUAAAAUCUUUCUAUUUUCCUCUUUUAUCUCUAUUUAUUUUCUAUGGUUUAGUCUAUAUUUUUUUAUAGUUUUGAAAUUUAAUUUUAAUUUUUAAAUCUUAUUUAUUUUGAAUAUUUUUUAAUCUUAGUAAUUUAUUUUAUAAUCUUUCAUAUACUUUCUCUCUAUCAUUUAAUUCAUAUUACUGUUUUAAUAGUUUUAGAUAUUAAAUUAUUUUAUUCUUUAAAAAAUAACUUUACCAACGAAAUUUUUUAUUUUUUAAAAAAUUAAAAAUUACCUCUGGAUUACUAUUGAUUGUUUUAUUUUAAAAAUAUUAUUUAAAUAAUUACCGAUAGUCACCAACAAUUAUUUUUUUAUUUUUAAAAAUAAAUUAAUAAUUUACCAAUGAUUUACCGACAAUUCUUUCAUUGAUUUAUUGUUUCUUUAUUUUUUUUUGGCAGAGGACAAUAAUUUACUGUCAAUAGAAAUUUAGUCGAUAAAUCAGUUUUUUGUAAGAUAUUUUAGCAAUUUACCAACUGAAUUUUAAUUGGUAAAUCAGACAAAUUUACCAAUAAUUUAGUAAUUAUGGAUGAAUUUUGCCAACCGUCGGUAAUAUUAUUUACUGAUAGUUUAACUAAUUUUUUUAUAAAUAAUAUAAAAUGUUAAAACUCUAUUUAAUUUUAUCUUUAAACUCAAUUUAUUUUAUUAUUUAUAAUUAAAAUAAUUAUAAUUAAUAUGUAAUAUAAAAUAAAAAACUAAUAUAUAUACUAACAAUUAAGAAUUUAGUAUUGUAAUUAAUUAGAGAGUUAUACUAAGCAUUCGAAAUUGUAAAGAAAGAGAAAAGCUAAAGUAAUAAGAAAAUGAGAAAUUGAUAAAAGAGCAAGUGACCAAAAACAAACGAACUCCCAAGAAAGUUCGACUCCAAAUGGACAAAUCCCACACAAAUUACACCUGACUGACUCUGUGCAGGUGCGCGUGAGAAUAGAUGUCACCCAACCCAACUGCUCUAUAAAUGGAAACUUUGGACCCACCUGUCUUUUCACAUCCCAACCUUAACUGCACAUGUGGUACCCCACAUUUGAAAAGCACACCUCACUCCUUUUUUCUUUUUCUUUUUUAAGGGAUACCUUUAUAUUUGAAAAAAGAAGUAAAUUCUUGUUAGUACUCUGUCAAAUUAUUUCCUAUUUAUAAAAAUCUAUUAGUUUUAAAUAAUUAAAUAUAUAUAUAUUUAUCAUCUAAUAUAAAAAUUGAUAAAAAUUAUAUGUAAAAUGAAAGUUUUUUUAUAAUGUAUUGCUUUGUUUUGGAGUCCUUUUUCCCAUUUUGAAAUACAUUAUUCUAAUAAAUAUCAUAUAUUAUAUUCUUUUAAUAGUUUAAAUAUUUUAUUGCUAAAAAAAUUUAUGUAUUUUAUAUUUACCAUUAAAUUUAGCAUAUUAGUUUAAAAUUUUUAGUUUUAGUAUUAUAUUUUAAUAUUUAUUUCGAUUUAAUUUUUUAUGAAAUUAUCAGCUAAAUUUGUUAAUAUAAUGUAAAUUCUACUAACUAAAAGAAAAGACUGAAUCGGUAUUUUCAUUACUAAAAUAUUAAUAUUUAAAUAUAUAAUUAAUAAAGUUUUAAAAUUAAAAAAAAUAAUUUAAUAUGUUUAAAUAAUAAUAUUUUAAUAAUGAAAUGAAUGAAUAGCCUAAUGUUUAUUCAACUAUUUUUAAAGUCGCUGCAGUUUAACCAGAUUUGUAAAUUUAGUAGAUAAUUUUAUUGAAUAUUAAAAUUAAUAUUAAUAUUAAAAUAUAUUAUUAAAAUAAAAAAUUAAAUGUACAUUUAAUAAUUCGUGCAAAUUAUAUACUUGUUUAACAAUUAACUCUAGUUUAAAUAACAUUAUAUGAUCUUAUUUUGUACAAUUUUUUUCUCAAUGCUUUUUUAAUCGCUAGAUAUUAUAAUAAAUGUGAUAUAUUUAAUUAAUUUUAAAGUAAAUAUUUGACAGAAUUUAAAAGAGAAGAUAUAAGAUUUUUUAGAAUAUUUUAUUUUUUUAUAUCAUUUUCAUAUUUAUAUUUUCUUAUUAAAUAAUCAUAAAUAAAUCUAAACGAACAUCAUUGUACUUAAAUAUAAAAAUUUAAUUAACAAUUUUGUAUCUUAAGAAAAAGAAAAUACAUUUUAAAUGACUUUCUAAAAAUAUAUUUAUAUUAUUAAAACCUACCUUAAUAGCUCUUACAUAGAGCUAUAAAUAUCAUAAUUAUAUGCUUUUAAGUAUUUGAAUACUUCACAUCUUAAAGAGCAGAAAACGUAGCAAAGUACAAGAUAUCUAGGCUUUGAAGACAAAGUAGGCCUAGAUCUAAAGGGUUCUAAAGCCCUAUAUAUUGACACCUUUUAACUAUUUUUUAUGCAAAAGAUAAUCAAAUAUGUUUUUAAAUUUGUAAUUCGAAUCUAAAUGAGUUAAUUUCAAUUAUUUUAGUAAAUAAUUUAUAAUUUUUAUGUAAAGACUAAAAAGAUUUACAUUUUAAUUAAAACUAAUGGUAAUAAUGUUGAUGAUAGUUUGAAAACAUCGACGAUAACAGUGAAAUAAAGACAACAAUUGUUAAUUUUAAUUUUUUAAUAAAAUAAAAAAUUAAUUUUUAUUAUAUAAAAUAAAAAAAUUAGUUUUAAAUAUUAAAAAUUAAUAUUUAUUCGAGUCUUAUUUAUUUAAUUAAUUUAAAUAAGAAGUAUGGUAAAUACACUAAAAACCUUUUCAAAGUAUAAACCUUUUUGACCUUUAAAUAGAAGUUUUGAACCUAUUUAUUAAAAUAGUUAAAAUUAAACUCAUUUUUUUUCAAAGUAUAAACUCAUUUUGAAUAAAAUACUCUUUUUUUU